UGGGGAAUAUUGGACAAUGGGCGAAAGCCUGAUCCAGCUAUGCCGCGUGUGUGAAGAAGGCCUUUUGGUUGUAAAGCACUUUAAGCGAGGAGGAGGCUACUUGGAUUAAUACUCUAGGAUAGUGGACGUUACUCGCAGAAUAAGCACCGGCUAACUCUGUGCCAGCAGCCGCGGUAAUACAGAGGGUGCGAGCGUUAAUCGGAUUUACUGGGCGUAAAGCGUGCGUAGGCGGCUUUUUAAGUCGGAUGUGAAAUCCCUGAGCUUAACUUAGGAAUUGCAUUCGAUACUGGGAAGCUAGAGUAUGGGAGAGGAUGGUAGAAUUCCAGGUGUAGCGGUGAAAUGCGUAGAGAUCUGGAGGAAUACCGAUGGCGAAGGCAGCCAUCUGGCCUAAUACUGACGCUGAGGUACGAAAGCAUGGGGAGCAAACAGG
rnacentral:rRNA from 1 species